UUUGGGAAGUCCUUGUGUUGCNCCCCUUUUUCAAUUUUNAAGUUUCGACUGCUACAUCCCGCUGGCCGUUGCUACUUUUCGGGGCGGGCGGGCCCCGCAUCAGGCGCGGGANCCCCAUAGAUUCAUGGCCGUCCAGGCGGGACGNGCUGGAAACGAAGGGACGCGCGAACGGCCUUCCCGGCCGGAUAGAAAUGCAGGNGACGGAACCGGCCGGAAAACGAUGAGAUAGAUGAGAAACUCCGGCGUUUUCCAUUCUCCCGANAGCGGACACCAGACCGUAUCCGAUCANGUUUCACGUACGCAGCGAACUGCGUCCGCGAGCGGCANUUGGAACGUCGGGCAUUUGCUGUGGNGACCUCGGNGAUUCUGCUUCCUCUCNCGGGAACAAAGAAAUUCGCGGCACGCAAAAC
rnacentral:misc_RNA from 1 species